rnacentral:rRNA from 1 species
UACGAAGGGUGCAAACGUUGCUCGGAAUUAUUGGGCGUAAAGCGCGUGUAGGCGGUCCGGUAAGUCCGCUGUGAAAGUCGGGGGCUCAACCCUCGGAUGCCGGUGGAUACUGUCGGGCUUGAGUACGGAAGAGGCGAGUGGAAUUCCUGGUGUAGCGGUGAAAUGCGCAGAUAUCAGGAGGAACACCAAUUGCGAAGGCAGCUCGCUGGGACGUUACUGACGCUGAGACGCGAAAGCGUGGGGAGCAAACAGG